rnacentral:lncRNA from 1 species
AUUUGCACAUCUCUGCUGCCUCUGACUACUUCCGCGAGUGUAGGUUUUGGAUUAUCUGUCUCAACAGCUUCAACAUCAGCUGGUACUGGACUUUUUGGUUCCAUAACUGCUGAAAAUUGUAAUCUCCUUGCUGUUGUAUCACUCAUCCCUUCAUUUCUUUGUGAUCGAUCCUGAACUGCUUCUGCAUGCAAUUGAUCCUUCGAUUGGUACUUCAGAGG